GUUUGCCCUAAAUCACAGGUGCGUUUGGAUUGACGACAGACCUCUCUUCCCCGCUUACUUUCCCUCGCCUAAACCUCUUGGUCGGCGUGGCGUCUCCUCCCAUGGCUGGUUUCAUUGAUUUGAUGGAUUCGUCUCAUCUCCAAUCUCGUUUUGCCACUAAAUUCCUGAUAGUGAUAUUGAAUUGAUGGCGCAGUGGCUUCUCCUGGUUUUCGGUGGAUCGGGGUCUCAGGCCUCGGAUCUGGAUGAAAUUGGAGCAGAUCCCGUCUUCGCUGCUAUUGUUUUCUUCUUUCAUGCGUGGAUAUUGAGAAGCCCGAAAGUUUUAUAGGUGGAUUGUCCGUUGUCAUGUUAUGCGAUCACACUUUUUGCAGAUGGAUGGUUUUAAAAUCGCGUAUUUGAAGCGAUAUUUAAUUUGCGCGGUUUCACUGCAAGUUUUGCUAGAUUUUUCACCGGAUAUGGAAAACCUUGUCUUCUGCUCAGAUGCAUAGCUUGGAUACCGAAGUUUCUUCCCGUUCACAAAAUUUUUUGAAGGCUGAAGAUGGUAUGGUAAAAUACUAAAAUCUAUUUGUUGUAUCUGAUGAUAUAUUAUUUGUUGUCUGCUCUUGGCCUUUGCCAUGCUGGGUGCGCUCGCAUGGCAGGCCACCAAACCUAAUAAAAUCUAUAUUUUUUGGGUGCUUUCUUGGGGAGAUCGCACGGGGCUGAAAGUUUUUUACCCGGGUUCUCCCCAAGAUUUUCUUCUUGCUUUUUCGCUUGCUUUUUGUUUCAUCUAAUUUUGACAUCUAGGUUUAGCGUGUGGUUUAUCAACUUAGGCGGAACAUGCUCGCGUUGACUGUGGCCUGAACUCUGAAUCGUUAUCCAAACGCUAUCAAUCUAACAAGAGGACGCGCUUGCACUAGAAUCUAGGUUCUGAAGAACCUGACAAGGUAUAAACAAUCGUUAAUCCUUAAAUUAAUCAAUACUGACGUGGUUUACAAUCAGGAAAUUUCUCAUUACAAUUGAUGAAAGAUUCCUAUCCCCAUCCUUUUGUGCUUUAAUCGUUCAGUGUCGUGCUCGAGUGCUGGCAAAUAAUACUUUUCACAGAUAGUACAGAGUCUUUACUUGUUACCUUAAAGUUUCUCUGAAUUCACGUUAAUCACAUAUCCAUUGGAAGUUGCGCAUGCUGUUUCGUUUGUUUGUGUAUGGAUCGUCCGCUAAUCAUUUACCGUAUGAGUUUCAUCUUCAGUUUAUCUCUUUGGUCGUGAUGUUGUGUUCAUAGUUCAUUCUGGUGCUAGAAAAUGAUGCUGAUUUUCUCACUCUACUGAUGAAAUCUACUGGUUUAAAUACUUUAAAGUAUUGGCGGCUAUAGUUUUUUUGGCUACUCUAUAUGUUUCUCCUAAAAAACGUCAUUCUAUUGUUCUCAUCUUGUUGCAAAAAAGCAGUUAGGGCAUCUCCAACCGAAAACUCCAUUUCCACUCUAAAAUACCCUAAAACUUCAAAAUGUGGCGGCUUAUCUCCAAUAGAACUCAAUUUUUCUUUGUAUGCUAGCUUCUUUGAGAAGGUAAACAUCUCUCUCAUGUUUCGCACGUUUCUUGUGAUUGUGAAGGUAAUCUUUUUUUUUUUUGCAUAGGUGAACAGUCCAACGCCAAUAUUGGUGUUAGACUGUUCUCAUAUUGUUUUUUGGCGUGAAAUUUGGAGUUCUAAUGAAGUGAUUCACGAACAGCAUAAAAUGAUAUGCAGUUCGGUUGGAGAUGAUCUUAUAAACACAAUUUCUUUUUGCAACCUCUUCAAUUGUUUUGAAAAUUUUAGGGUUAUAAAUUUCAUGUGGCUCCAAUACAUGUAUUUUUUUCAAUAUUUUUUUUUUCCAAGAAUGGUAUGAUUUGAAUUAGCGACCACAGAGAGAUAACCUUUCCUAAUUUUUUGCUUUCCAUCUAAUUUUUAAUGUUACUUUUCAUAAUAUUUUGAAUUCAUCAUUAGCUUGUUAUAAGAGAUUUAUCAAGAGUAUAAUAGUAACAUAAAAGUUAUUUAAAAAUUUGAAAACAUAAUUAAUUUAUGACCCAUAUCCACUUAAAAAUUAUAUGAUUCCCCAGUACAAUUCUACAUGUGUAUCACAAAUUUGCAUUUAUUUGUUAGCGUUUUGCUUACCAGUUUUUCGAUACUUAUGAAAUAAAGUAAUCUUAUUUAAUUGAUAUUGAAUGAAACAUCAUUUACUUUAUUUAAUAUUUAAUGAAUGUUAAUUCAAUAAAAAUUAAUUGUUGGGAAGUGAAUGAUUUGGUUAUAUACUUAUAUUAGAAACAAUACAUAUAAUAUGUGUGGUGAUUCAUUUUUAAUAAUUUUUGUUUUUGAAGUGUACAAAUAGUAAUUUUUAUUGUAAAUUAAUAGUUAGAGAGAUAUUAGAAGAUGCGUGCAAAAUAUUAGUUCUUUAUAUUAUAUGCACAUUGGAAAGCCAUUUAUAGUAAAUGAAGAUUUUUAAACAUAAUGUAGCAUUUUUAGAAUGGCAAAUUAUUAGAUAAGUCAAUACAUUGUUCAUUGGACAUUUUAUGCAUCUAUAUCUAUACAUAAAUAUAAAUCUUAAUAGUUAAUAUUGAAGUCAACUAAUCAUAUAUAUAUAUAUAUAUAUAUAUAUAUAGUGUAAAAUAAGAAUAAAAAUAAAAUAUGGCAACAAUAAGCCUAUUGAUUCUCCUACUUUUGUCCACAUCAAAGCCAUCAUUCAACAAGGAUGAUUAUCUUCUCAAGUUUACAUGAGUAAGGAAGCGUUAAAUGAAUGGCUACAAUUUUUCUUUCAUCUUAUUUGAGAAUGAAGAAACUUUCUUCAGUGAAAUAUAGAUGUACAUAGCAUGUAUUAUGCUCUCUAUUGGAGAAGAAAACAACACUUAUAUAUGAAUUUGAUAUUUUUUUGUAGAAUUUUUUUUUUCAAUGUUUGGAAACCAUGUAAGGUUUUUUGUAAAUAUUGAUUGCAUGUAUAAAAUUAAGCUGGUGCCCAGCUUCUUAGUAGCUGUUUUAUGGAAUUUAGAACUCUUUAGUGGCUGACGGAGAAUAGAGCUUCGGCUGAUGGGAUCGAUGGUGGUGCCUUUAUUAGAGAUCCGUGUCUCAUGCCUCAGAUCUAGAUGAUAUUGGACCAGAUCUCUUUUUCCUUGCUGUUCUUUCUGCGUUUAAAGCAGUGAUAUUCACAAGUCCCGAUGUUAUGCUGCUGGGUUGCAAUAUAAUGUUACAUUUUCACAAUUUCUGCAGAUAAAUUGAUGGUUUCAGCUUUUAAACUUUAUCCUGCUCACGCUUACAGCUUAGACAUCUGAUCUUGUUCCAGCUUCCAACAUGUUAUGAAGAUUGAAAAUGGAAUGUGCUGGUCAAUCAACUUAGACGUGACGGUCGCAUGGAUUGAAGUUUAAACUCUGAAUCGGUAACCGAAUGCUAUCAUUCUAACUGGAUGGAGAAUAAUUGAGGUUUUGAAGAACUUCGCAAGGUCUAGUAUUUUCUUCCAUGCAAAGAGAGCUUUUGAUGAAGGUGUUUGGCAAUCCUUUCUUAGGCAACCCUGUGCCCUGUCGAGCAUGCCCUAGAGGGAUAAAUUGAUGCAAAGCUUAGACAUCUGAUUUUGCUCCUGCUUCCAACAUGCUAUCAAGAUUGAAGAUGGAUUGGUAAAUCUGCUCGUUGUACUGUUGAUAUGUUCUUCAUUGUCAUUUCUAGGCCUUUGCCAUGGUGGGUGCGCUCUCAUGGCAGGCCAUCAAACCUAAUAAAAUAUAUAUUUUCUUGGUGUGUUGGUGGGGAGAUCGCACGGGGCUGGAUUUUUUUCCCCCGGGUUCUCCCCCACCUGGUCUUCUAGCUUUUUCGCUUGAUCUCUGGUUUUUCUAAUAUUGCACUCUAUGUUUAGCGUGUGGUAUAUCAACUUAGACGUGACGGCCGCAUGGAUUGAAGUCUAAAUUCUGAAUCGUUAUCCGAAUUCUAUCAUUCUAAAUGGACACGUCUGGUGAAGAAUUAAGGUUCUGAAGCACUUCACAAGGAACUCGAUCAGAUGUAAAACUUGCUUAUGUUAUAAAAAAAUCCAGUUAUUCCUUUGGUGUUUAAGUUAAAGCUAUAUUAGCCCAUUCUUUGUUUAUCGUGUUGUGGUAGCUUAUUUUUGGUAUUUCAUUUCAGUAGACUAUUUUCACCUGUUUGUUGGUUAUUGCCUUUAUUUUUAUUAUGGCCAGCUGUAUAUGUUAAUUUUUUCAUCGAUUGAGAUCUUACAAGCACCCGAUGGGUGCUUAUUAAUUGAAUCGAUGACAGGUCCUAUUUGUUAUUAAUCACACAUAACUGGAUAUUAAAGAUUUAUGAUUUGAUUCAUAGGAGAUCAUAUAUUUUUAGUAAAUUUAGUUAUUGAAUUGUAGAAAGUACAAUGUUAUCAUUGUAAACUUAUAGGCUAGGGUGAUAUUUGAAGAUGAUUAAAACACAAGUACUAAAAAUAAUAUGCAAACACUUGAAGAGGUAAUUUAUAUUUGAUUAAUGUUCUAAUAAUAUAAAUAGCAUUUGUAGGAUGACAUUAUCAGAUAUUGCAAAAGUUUUGAGAGAGUUUCUCCUAAUUUGCAAGCGAAGCAUAAAUUUUAAGGUUAUUUUUUAUUCAAUUAUAGCUGUAUAUUUUGACAUAGUACGAGUAUUAUCAGAAACCUUUGCACUGAGUGACACCUCAUGUAGAUAAAUUUGUUGUUUAUCACUGAACCUAACAAGGAGUUGGUCUGAUUGUAUAGAUUAAUAGUUUUUUGUAUAUUAUGUUUUGUUCUCCGUAGUUGGAAAAGCUUACACGCUGUGAGAUUAAAUUUAGGCUUAUUGUUCUGAGAAAUAUCUGAAAACUACGCGUAUCUGAUUUACCCUUUUAACUCUGCUAACCAUUCAACGUAUUUUGAUCAAUCAAUGUUAAUUGUUUGGAGUAAAAAAUAUGUAAAAUAAAAUUUUUUUAGUACUAUGGUCAAACGAAAGCUUUCGAUUUCUUAGUUAAUAGAAAUGGAAGCCAAGAUUAUCUCUUAUCGGCUUAUUUAAGAUAAUAUAAGGGUCGCAAUCUCAAUCAAGAUAUGCUAAGCUAUUAUUACUAUUUUUAAAAAAGUUUUAUGGUUCAAAAAUUGUCCAAAAAAAUUGUUUAAUUGAAGCUUUAAAGCAGCAGUAAGAAAGUCUUUCAAAACUAAGCUUAAAAGGUGGGGCUUUAAUUCUUCUGCAGAAAGUAUAAGAAGCAAAGUAGGUUUAAAUACCAAAACAGAAGAUAAUGUCAAACGAACUAUUCAAUCUAUGUCAAUGCAGAGUUUAAUAAUAAUUUAAAAGAAGAUAUUUUCCGCCACUUUCAGUUGCUUGAGCUUUGAUGUUGCUGAAACAAUCUGUCAUAUAUUCUUCACAGGUCUAGUAUUUUCUUCCAUGCAAAGAGAACUUUUGAUGAAGGUGGCUGUAUGACUAUCCUAUCUUAGACAGCCCUGUGCCCUGUUGACAUGCGCGAUAGAGAUAAGAGAGGGCUUGAUUGAGCCGGCGAACUCUUCACGAAGAAGAUUAGACGCAGAGAUGAAGGCGGCUGCUACUGUGAACAAGAGUAAAAAAUUAACUAGUUAUUCAUCGCAUAAGGUAAUUUCAUAGGGCUUUUCCUAAAAGUAGAAUGUCAACCAAAAUUACGUUAGCUACAGUAAAAGAUGAAU